rnacentral:rRNA from 1 species
ACUCCUACGGGAGGCAGCAGUGGGGAAUAUUGCACAAUGGGCGCAAGCCUGAUGCAGCCAUGCCGCGUGUAUGAAGAAGGCCUUCGGGUUGUAAAGUACUUUCAGCGGGGAGGAAGGCGAUAAGGUUAAUAACCUUGUCGAUUGACGUUACCCGCAGAAGAAGCACCGGCUAACUCCGUGCCAGCAGCCGCGGUAAUACGGAGGGUGCAAGCGUUAAUCGGAAUUACUGGGCGUAAAGCGCACGCAGGCGGUCUGUCAAGUCGGAUGUGAAAUCCCCGGGCUCAACCUGGGAACUGCAUUCGAAACUGGCAGGCUAGAGUCUUGUAGAGGGGGGUAGAAUUCCAGGUGUAGCGGUGAAAUGCGUAGAGAUCUGGAGGAAUACCGGUGGCGAAGGCGGCCCCCUGGACAAAGACUGACGCUCAGGUGCGAAAGCGUGGGGAGCAAACAGGAUUAGAAACCCGGGUAGUCCCAUG